UUGAUCCUGCCGGACCCGACUGCUAUCAGAAUAGGACUAAGCCAUGCGAGUCAACGUAGCAAUACGUGGCAUACGGCUCAGUAACACGUAGUCAACAUGCCCAGGGGACGUGGAUAACCUCGGGAAACUGAGGAUAAACCGCGAUAGGUCAUAAUAUCUGGAAUGAUUUCUGGCUUAAAUCUAUAUGGCCCCUGGAUUGGACUGCGGCCGAUCAGGCUGUUGGUGAGGUAAUGGCCCACCAAACCUAAAACCGGUACGGGCUCUGAGAGGAGAAGCCCGGAGAUGGGCACUGAGACAAGGGCCCAGGCCCUAUGGGGCGCAGCAGGCGCGAAAACUCUGCAAUAAGCGAAAGCUUGACAGGGUUAUUCUGAGUGAUUUCCGCUAAGGAAAUCUUUUGGCACCUCUAAAAAUGGUGCAGAAUAAGGGGUGGGCAAGCCUGGUGUCAGCCGCCGCGGUAAUACCAGCACCCCGAGUGGUCGGGACGAUUAUUGGGCCUAAAGCAUCCGUAGCCGGUUCUACAAGUCUUCCGUUAAAUCCACCUGCUUAACAGAUGGGCUGCGGAGGAUACUAUGGAGCUAGGAGGCGGGAGAGGCAAGCGGUACUUAGUGGGUAGGGGUAAAAUCCGUUGAUCCAUUGAAGACCACCAGUGGCGAAGGCGGCUUGCCAGAACGCACUCGACGGUGAGGGAUGAAAGCUGGGGGAGCAAACCGGAUUAGAUACC
rnacentral:rRNA from 1 species